rnacentral:lncRNA from 1 species
UAUGAUAAUAAUAAUGGAGACCGUUAGUUGAGCCGUUGCACUGCCCCAGAUUCUGUGCCUUUGCCCUUUAAUCAGAUCUGUUACCUUUCGCAAGAUCCCUACGAGGAAGAGCGCCACUCCCUGCUCUGCCCACUGGUAGCUGCAACCUUGGCCUCCUCUGUAAAAUCAGGCUGGUCCGUGUUCCAGCAGUUCUCGCGGGAGGGAGACUCUUCUGGAGGAAACUGGCUGUUCACAGACAUUCUGCCCAACUGCUAACACCCGGCUGCCGAGCCUUGAUCUUCCUACUCUCGCGACCCAAUCGGGGGUGUGCUCCUGUCCCUGAAUUCCUAAAGGACCGAGUAGGGAUGAGGUUGACGCAAGACUCCGAGAGCUCUCUACUCCAUCUGACUCCAGAAUAUUAAACAUAAAAACAAAGCCCUCAUAUUGAUUAUUCCACCAAGAGUGGAAACUGACUAGACUGAAGAGCAAAAGGAAUGGUCUGGAAGUGAGGAAGAGACAAGAGAUACCUCCCUCCUGAAGUUUGGAAGUGAAAGGAGGCGACACUGAAACACGAUAAGAGGAGAGGAAGUCAGUGUUGGUUUUCUUCCCCUUUAACGAUGAAAGAGUUUUGAAUACAUUUGUAAGCAGAGGGGAAGAAGUUCACACAGAAGGAAAAAUGGAAGAUACUGAUACAGAGGGAUGACUAAGGGGGCAGGAUCUCAGAGUUUCUCGGAGGGAUGGGAUCAGAAGUACUGAUGAAGAGAAUGGUCCUGUAUCAGAGGAAGGAGCUGUGGGUCUGGAAAAAGGAGGUAAGAAUGGGAGCUCGAGAUAAACUUAAUAGAAGGCUCCUGAUGGCCUAAUAUUCUCAACAAAGUGAGAGAUGAGGUUGCAAAAUGGCUUUGAAGAUAAAUGGCGUACUUUUGGCAUGGUUGUGGGACUAUGUCAGAUUAAGGACCAUAAAUCUGAAAUGGUACCAAUCUACAAUGGUGUAUAAUUUUCCCUCGUAGCCCUCUAUUGUCUGACUUGCUAGGGUCUCAAGGAAUGGGCGGAAUUGGGAAGGUGAGUUUAUAUCAUCAGUCAUGGGAGUCCAACCUUCUAGGGAGCAGAGGCCAAGAAGGAGCUGGGUGAUGGUAAAAGGAACUGAAGGUCGCAAGAAAAGGCUCGGCGCAGUGGUGGUAGGAUGAAGGGGUGUGAAAGAUGGAAGGAGGGGAGGUCCUGAAGGGAGAUAUUGAAGCUCAAGUUUUAGAAAAAUAGUCAUCCCAGGUUAUGGCAAGAUCCAAAAAGUGUACAGCUAAAUCAGAUCAUUAGAUAGGACAGAAGAUAUUGUCUGUGUGCAUGGUCUGAGAUUAUACUGUAGCUCCAUGGUCUAUAACAGAACUUGGGGAAAGGGGAAGGCAGGGAGCCAGGAUCCAACUGCUGGAG